UAGGCUUAGGUCUAAAAAUUACUAAAGCUACACAUUAGGCCUACACAUUAUUCUUAAACUUAAUGGAACAUGGCUAAAAUUCACUGAGCAUUGUUGCACUUGGCGCUUAAGACUUAAACGUUCACCCAAAAAAAGGGAAGAUCUGAUUUUUACCAGUAAUAAGACUACAGCAUACUAAAUGACACAAGAUGUUCUUUCUCUAUUACCUCUUACAUUUGACAUAAAAGCAGGAAAAGGUUUAACAGUCUAUGCCUACAACAUGGAUCUCCAGGACUAAAACUGAAAAAAUUUGCAAUCAGUAUAUCACAAGUGUUAUAAUACAAGCAUCUAAUCUGCUUCAGUGGCCAGAACUGGGUGAAUCCUCUCAAACUUGAAUCAGGAACUAGGCAUACCUAAUGAGCGUCAAGCUGAUACAGUAGAUGUACAGAAGAGUUUAUACACAAGGAAGUGAAAAGUGAUGUGAAAGGCAACUAAUACUUCCAUCUACCAUAGUUAAACAAGAAUCUGCAAAUGGCGAUAAUUGCAAUAAUCCUGAUAUAUUCAUUUUGGCUUUUUAUGCAAUUGUCAGGUUUGAUAAAUA